rnacentral:lncRNA from 1 species
UUCUUUAUUUUUUUUCUUUCUCUUUCUUUUCUUUCCUUUAUUUUUUUUCUUCCUUCUUUCUUAUUCCUUCGUUCUUUCUUCCCACGUGACCCUUUUCCUUUCCAGCGCACAGCCAUGGCGUGACCUCCUGCCACCCCUGAUUCGAUGGGAUCCCCCCCGAUUCCCCCUCCCCCUUCCUUCCUUCGGCCCCCCUCUGCCCCUAUAUAAACCGCCGCCGCACCACCCCCUCAGACCCCUCCUCCCCUCGCCGUCACGCCGCCUCGCCCCUGCCUCUGUUGCUCGCCGGAGCAACACCACAUGAAUUUUUCCCCGCUCCACCCCGGUCACCACCUCGCCCCCAUGCACCACCGAGACCACCAGCAAGUUCCCCGCAACCACCGCGUCCCAUUUUUCCCCUAGCCCGACCCAUCGCCGCUCCACGCCACCGCACCACCCCUCGCCGGAAUUCGGCCAUCACCAGGAGCUCCAAGAGCUCGAGCUCCCUCGCCUAGGAGCGCCUCUCCCCCCACCAGCGACCCCUUCCACCACCGGCCCCCUCCUCCG